rnacentral:rRNA from 1 species
GGUUGAUCCUGCCAGUAGUUAUAUGCUUGUCUCAAAGAUUAAGCCAUGCAUGUCUAAGUACAAACUAUAUCAUAUAGUGAAACCGCAAAAGGCUCAGUACAACAGCUAUUAUUUAUUUGAUUAUAAAAACAGUUACUUGGAUAACUGUGGUAAUUCCAGAGCUAAUACAUGCAAACAACAUGACACCGCCGGCUCGCCGGAGGCACAUGUGCUUUUAUUAGAUUAAAACCAUACCGCUCUCGGGCGGUUCACUUUAGACGAAUCUGGAUAAUUUUGGCUGAUCGUAUGGUCU